rnacentral:ncRNA from 2 species
CUUAUCACAAAGGGGGGCCAUUUAUUGGCUGAGACUGAAUGAACUAUUCUAACCCUUCGAACCUGUUUCGUUAAUACGAGCGUAGGAAUUGUGUGAGUUGAGGAA